UCGAGGGGCAGCGGGGAAAAGCUUGCUUUUCCGCCGGCGACCGGCGCACGGGUGCGCACCGCGUAUGGAACCUGCCUUGUACAGGGGAAUAGCCCAGGGAAACUUGGAUUAAUGCCCCGUAGUACCGUAUUUCGGCAUCGUUAUACGGUUAAAGCCUUCGGGCGGUACAAGAUGGCCAUGCGUCCCAUUAGCUGGAUGGUAAGGUAACGGCUUACCAUGGCUACGAUGGGUAGGGGCCCUGAGAGGGGGAUCCCCCACACUGGUACUGAGACACGGACCAGACUCCUACGGGAGGCAGCAGUGAGGAAUAUUGGACAAUGGAGGAGACUCUGAUCCAGCCAUGCCGCGUGCAGGAAGAAUGCCCUAUGGGUAGUAAACUGCUUUUAUACGGGAAGAAAAAGAGCUACGUGUAGCUUACUGACGGUACCGUAAGAAUAAGGACCGGCUAACUCCGUGCCAGCAGCCGCGGUAAUACGGAGGGUCCGAGCGUUAUCCGGAAUUAUUGGGUUUAAAGGGUCCGUAGGCGGGCCGAUAAGUCAGGGGUGAAAGUCUGCCGCUCAACGGUAGAACUGCCUUUGAUACUGUCGGUCUUGAGUUAUAGUGAAGUUGCCGGAAUAUGUAGUGUAGCGGUGAAAUGCAUAGAUAUUACAUAGAACACCGAUUGCGAAGGCAGGUGACUAACUAUAUACUGACGCUGAUG
rnacentral:rRNA from 1 species